UGUUUGUCUCUUUUUUUGUUCCCUCUCUGGAUGGAGGGAGAAGCCAAGCAGGUACAAUAUCUCCUGAAAUAUAUACCUGUAAUAAUCCAUCUAAGACCACAGAAACUGUGAGUAGAGCAAGGAAAUGCAUUAGGUUAUCUUUUGUUUUGCCUUGUGAAUUUUCCUAUGCUAAAA